AAUUCUUUCCCACAAUCAUUGUCAUUCGAAACGGAAAGAUGCAUCAGAUCUAAUUUUGAAAGCACCAAAAACUCAUCUCGUAAAGAAAUUAUACCUUUAUUGCUCAUAUAUAAUCGUUUAGCAUCCUCGUCUUCCUUAAACUUUUUGUCACAGAAAGUAAUAUAUUCAGCCGUUACUUUUUUAUAUUUUGUGUAACUUGGCUUUUUACCAGAUAUUAACAUUUUGGUGACUUCACGCCAUUGACGAAACAUGCCAUACGGUUCUGGAAAUUUAUAUUUGAAAAAGAAAUCAUUAGAAGAUUGUUGCUCAAGAGAUGAAUGAUCAGAAUGACAACGAAUAACAAACCCUUCGAUUGCCCUGUUAUUCCAUUUGCCAUCUUUAGAGGCAUUUUCUAAAAAGGCUUUGAGCUCAUGAAUGCUAUCCAUAAAAAAUGAAGAAACUUUCAUAAAUCCCCAUUGUUCCGCAAAUUCAGCAACUUCACAGGAUGAUGCAGUAAUAAACUGCGGGCAAUUCCGAUUUAAUCCAUGCAGAUAUAGUCCACGAGAAUUUCCAGUGUAUGGAAGAAUGUGCUCUUCAAACUCAUCAUCACAGAGUUCAGCCACAGCAGUCAUGUCUCUACGAAGUAGUUCAUGGGCCAGCUCUUGUUUAGUGCGACCAACACUUUGCAAAUGUUUUUCAAGCCAACGUUCCCCAACGUUUGCAUGAGAGACUGAUUGUCCUUCCACAAUACCUAAAGAAUGCUUGCUAGAAACAAUGAUCUGUCCGUCUGGCAAAGCUGCAAUAAAUAUGAUACAACCAUUUUCUUUGA